GUAUUUGUAGCUUAAACCCCAAAGCAUAGUACUGAAAAUGCUAAGAUGAGACUGACCUCUCCAAACACA
rnacentral:tRNA from 1 species